UACGUAGGGUGCGAGCGUUAAUCGGAAUUACUGGGCGUAAAGCGUGCGCAGGCGGUUUUGUAAGCCAGAUGUGAAAGCCCCGGGCUCAACCUGGGAAUGGCAUUUGGGACUGCAAGGCUAGAGUGCGGCAGAGGAGACUGGAAUUCCUGGUGUAGCAGUGAAAUGCGUAGAUAAUCAGGAGGAAUACCGAUGGCGAAGGCAGGGUCUCUGGGCUGACACUGACGCUCGAUGCACGAAAGACGUGGGGAGUCGAAACAAGGAUAGAAACC
rnacentral:rRNA from 1 species